CCUACGGGAGGCAGCAGUGAGGAAUAUUGGUCAAUGGGCGGGAGCCUGAACCAGCCAAGUCGCGUGAGGGAUGACGGCCCUAUGGGUUGUAAACCGCUUUUGUCGGGGAAUAAAGUGCCUCACGUGUGCGGCUUUGAGUGUACCCGGUGAAAAAGCAUCGGCUAACUCCGUGCCAGCAGCCGCGGUAAUACGGAGGGUCCGAGCGUUAUCCGGAUUUAUUGGGUUUAAAGGGAGCGUAGGCCGAAUGUUAAGCGUGCUGUGAAAUUUGCGGGCUCAACCCGGGUCGUGCAGUGCAAACUGGCUGGCUUGAGUCGGCGGAAAGUACGCGGAAUGCGUGGUGUAGCGGUGAAAUGCAUAGAUAUGACGAAGAACUCCGAUUGCGAAGGCAGCGUGCUGGAGCGGAACUGACGCUGAAGCACGAAAGCGUGGGUAUCGAACAGGAUUAGAUACCCUAGUAGUC
rnacentral:rRNA from 1 species